CUCCCUGUGCUUCUGGACAUGCGUGGGCUAGGAAGACAUGAAAGGGAAAAGUCACACCAAAGCAGGUGUGCUUGCUUCUGUGAGAUGAAAACAGGAGAAAACAGGAAAGAACAUGAGCGAAUGACAGCUAAAACCAAACUGGGGCCAAGAGUUGGACAGGUUCUGGCACAGAAAGAGAUGAAUUAGAAGAACUAUUUGGGGUGUUAACAGCUGAAGUAUUUGACUUUAGGAACGAGCUUGAGAAACAAGGAAGAAGCAACAGCAACCUAAGAUGGAUGUGGAGGAGUGAAUGUGGAACUUGAGCCCACAGUGUCCCAGAGCUGAAGAGGUCACAGCGUUCAUCUGACCUAGGCCCACCGUGUUGAUUUCUCUUCUGAUUACAAGCAGAACAACUGAAAACAGAAGGCAGAGGCGUGCAGAAGUGAUUCUAGUCACC